CACACAGGCAUGCGCGCGCAUCCACCCGGGGUCUCCUGGUCAAUGGCGAACUCAUGUCGGCGCCUCGGAUUCCAAAUGGGCGGCAUCAAUAUCUGCCACGACAAUUGUCAUCAUCAUAAAGAUUUGGUGAGGAGCAAAGCCACUGGAGUUUGGGUGAGAGGCGGGAUUUAUCAUCUAUAAUAGACUUUCAACAACUUAGAGGCCACGCAGCAGCUCACCUCCAAGCUGUCACUGAAGGCGGGUGUGGGCACAGCCGGGCCGUCCCCGGCGCCGACCAGUUCGGAGACGCAGAAGGCGAGGAGCUUGAGCCUCUCCUUGACCGUGGACCUCAGGCCGGCGUACUCGCCCGCGUCCACGCCCAGCUCCUCGUCCUCCUUGGCGAUGGCGCUCUCCAUCAGGUGGCGGCACUGCAGCAAGGCCACGUGGAGGCGCCACAGCUGGUCCCGGGAGUCCAGCUGGGAGGAAGGGGGCGGGACCGACACCAGCCGGGGGUCCGCCACGCCCACAUCGGCGGGGAGGUUCUCUCUCUUACUCUUCAGUGGGGGAGAAAAUCAUCUUGAUCAGCGUGGCAGCGAGAAUGGCUGAAUCGGGCUACAAUGAAGGUCUUAGAAUGGCCUUCCCAAAGUCCUGACUUAAAGAUGUGGACAAUGCUGAAGAAACAAGUAAAUUUCAGAAAAGCAAACACAUUUAGCUGAACUGCAGCAAUUUUGUGGUCAAAAAUUCAAGCAGAAGCAAAAUAAAUUCCUAAAAGAAGCAAACUUCAUGAAUGUUUUUUGUGAGCAACAAGUAUGUGAUGACAUCAUCACAUCACAGAAGAACAAGAGUGGUGGAAAUGAUUGGAAACUCAAGACAGCCAUGACAUCAUGUUCUGUACACGUGUACGUACA